GGUCCAGUAGUGGGUGGUUCCGCGUCUGCAAUUCUUAGCAAGGCGGGAAUGUAAGCAGAAUAUGCUCGUUCGAAUCGAGCCUGGGCCG